rnacentral:rRNA from 1 species
AUGUCAGAUUGCUAUGAAGAAUGUCGAGACCCACCACGACUUUACCUUCUCGACAGAUUUGAUAAUGCUGGUGUUGGGACUUGUUUGAAGAGAUAUUCUGAUCCAUCAUACUUCAAGAAAUCAUUGGAUGUGAUGAGAGCAGACAAGACUGCACAUCUCCAAAAAGAAAGGAGAUCUCACAAAAUCAAGGAUUCGCGGUUGAUUUCAGGGGAGAUCACUAUUGUGAGGAAAUCAAGAAGUUGA